rnacentral:rRNA from 1 species
UACGGGGGGGCAAGCGUUGUUCGGAAUUACUGGGCGUAAAGGGCUCGUAGGCGGCCAACUAAGUCAGACGUGAAAUCCCUCGGCUUAACCGGGAACUGCGUCUGAUACUGGAUGGCUUGAGUUUGGGAGAGGGAUGCGGAAUUCCAGGUGUAGCGGUGAAAUGGCGUAGAUAAUCUGGAGGAACACCGGUGGCGAAGGCGGCAUCCUG